ACGGGAGGCAGCAGUGGGGAAUAUUGCACAAUGGGCGAAAGCCUGAUGCAGCGACGCCGCGUGAGUGAAGAAGUAUCUCGGUAUGUAAAGCUCUAUCAGCAGGGAAGAAAAUGACGGUACUUGACUAAGAAGCUCCGGCUAAAUACGUGCCAGCAGCCGCGGUAAUACGUAUGGAGCAAGCGUUAUCCGGAUUUACUGGGUGUAAAGGGAGCGUAGACGGCAAAGCAAGUCUGAAGUGAAAUCCCGGGGCUCAACCCUGGAACUGCUUUGGAAACUGUUUAGCUAGAGUGCAGGAGAGGUAAGUGGAAUUCCUAGUGUAGCGGUGAAAUGCGUAGAUAUUAGGAGGAACACCAGUGGCGAAGGCGGCUUACUGGACGGUAACUGACGUUGAGGCUCGAAAGCGUGGGGAGCAAACAGGAUUAGAUACCCUGGUA
rnacentral:rRNA from 1 species